rnacentral:rRNA from 1 species
CCUACGGGAGGCAGCAGUGAGGAAUAUUGGUCAAUGGCCGGAAGGCUGAACCAGCCAAGCCGCGUGAAGGACGAAGGUGCCCAGCAUUGUAAACCUCUUUUGUCAAGGGACAAAAUCGGGCACGAGACCCUGACCGAGGGUACCUGAAGAAACAGCAUCGGCUAACUCCGUGCCAGCAGCCGCGGUAAUACGGAGGAUGCGAGCGUUAUCCGGAUUUAUUGGGGUUAAAGGGUGCGUAGGCGGACUGUUAAGUCAGCGGUAAAAGCCCGGGGCUAAACCCCGGCGAGCCGUUGAAACUGGGUGUCUUGAGAUGUCGAGAGGUAUGCGGAAUGCGCGGUGUAGCGGUGAAAUGCGUAGAGAUUGCGCAGAACUCCGAUUGCGAAGGCAGCAUGCCGGCGGCGAUCUGACGCUGAGGCACGAAAGCGUGGGUAUCGAACAGGAUUAGAUACCCGAGUAGUC